GUGCAUGGAGAAAUGUCUGUUCUUCACUCCUUUGGGAGCAUGAAUACAUCCAUAACAUGCUACAUUAAAAAAGAAGUUCAGAGGGAUGCCGACCUUACAGCAGAGGUUGCGUUAGUAUAUUCCUCCUACAUAA